rnacentral:tRNA from 1 species
GGGUGCUUAGCUCAGUUGGUAGAGCAUCGCCCUUACAAGGCGAGGGUCAGGGGUUCAAGUCCCUUAGCACCCACCA